AUACGGAGGGUGCAAGCGUUAUUCGGAAUCACUGGGCGUAAAGGGUGCGUAGGCGGUUUGAUAAGUCUGAUGUGAAAUCCUAUGGCUCAACCAUAGAACUGCAUUGGAAACUGUCAAACUAGAAUACUGAAGGGGCAGAUGGAAUUAGUGGUGUAGGGGUAAAAUCCGUAGAUAUCACUAGGAAUACCGAAAGCGAAAGCGAUCUGCUGGGAAGUUAUUGACGCUGAGGCACGAAAGCGUGGGGAGCAAACGGGAUUAGAUACCCCAGUAGUCC
rnacentral:rRNA from 1 species